rnacentral:tmRNA from 1 species
GGGGGCGUUUGGUUUUGACAGCAUAGAUCUUUGAAAGUGUAAGCAUGUGCUGCGUUGCGUAAUUAGCAGGUUAAUCUGAAUACGCAAACUAUAAAUGGCAAUACUCAGUAUGCCAUGGCUGCCUAAUCAGUGAUUAAGUAGUCAUUUGGGCCGUCGGGCCGGUUCGCUUGUUUCCAUGCCCGGCCGCCGACUUAAAACAAAACAAGAUGCGGUAACCACAGGCUGUGCCGGUUGCUUAAGACUCAUUCAGCUAAGGAAGUAGUCGGUUGUUCGUUUCCAGUUAUUUCCCGACAUCAUAAAACGAAAUAAACAUGUAGAAAGCUUUUGAAGAAUAUGUUUGGACACCGGUUCGAUUCCGGUCGCCUCCACAU